rnacentral:rRNA from 1 species
GAUGAACGCUGGCGGCGUGCCUAACACAUGCAAGUCGAGCGGCAGCGAGGGGUGCUUGCACCCUGUCGGCGAGCGGCGGACGGCUGAGUAACGCGUGGGAACGUGCCCCAAAGUGAGGAAUAACUGCCCGAAAGGGUAGCUAAUACCGCAUAUUAUCUUCGGAUCAAAGGAUUUAUCCGCUUUGGGAGCGGCUCGCGUCGGAUUAGGUAGUUGGUGAGGUAAUGGCUCACCAAGCCGACGAUCCGUAGCUGGUCUGAGAGGAUGACCAGCCAGACUGGAACUGAGACACGGUCCAGACUCCUACGGGAGGCAGCAGUGAGGAAUCUUCCACGAUGGGCGAAAGCCUGAUGGAGCAACGCCGCGUGCAGGACGAAGGCCUUCGGGUUGCAAACUGCUUUUAUAAGUGAGGAAUAUGACGGUAACUUAUGAAUAAGGAUCGGCUAACUACGUG